UUCUGUGGGUGUAAAGCAAAGAACAAAAUGAAGUGUGAUUCAAGGUGGGAAAUAGCCGCUUCAGGCUGCAGCAGCUGCCACACAAAGAAGCAGUCCUGUGGCAGUGACAGGACAUCUGUGUCCAGGAUUUGGAUUUGACGAACUGGCAGAUCCCGCAGGGAUGACGGCACUCCCUAGUUGUGUCUGAAUUGGACACGCCAGCACUUGAGCACACACAAACGCAUGUGAACAGACGGAACAUGUUAUGGGCCUGUUAGCCAAGGAAUGACAGAAUUAAUCCAUGGGCAUUUGGGGCCAAUGUUACGUUAAACUAAAGGGGAAAAGUGAACUGGAAAAAGCAAUGUUUGUUUUAUGAAAAUCUCAGACCCAAUCCUUAGGCGACGGUUCUGGAAAUGAGGGUGUCUAAAACAAAGGGCAUUUGAAACUGGUUUUUCAGCAACCUUUCCUCGUGUGAUGACCUCUUUCCCACCCGCUGCCUCCAUGCUCUUUAAUAUGGAACAGUGAAAAUCGGGGCCAGAAAAACAGAUUGUUGAUGCCUGUUGAUUUUAUCAAAGGAAGGUUGGAUCAAGCAAGACGGCAUAAAUAAACAAGCCUAGGACAAUUCCUGGCAGAUAUCAGGUCCUCCAUAGCAGUGAAUUCUCUCCCUGCUGGCAUGAGUUCUUGAUGGUUGGAGACCGUGCGCUGUUCUGUGCGUCACGUUAUUUUUUUCAGCCCAAUAGCAGGUGAGCUACUGAGUGAAGACAGAGACUGGAAACUAAUUCAGCUCUGAAUCUUCAGCACCUGGCAUGGAAGGUGCCCAGGACAUAUUUGAAAAAGAGAAUUAAUAGAAUUGACCAAUAGGCUGACCUCCUGAAUGAUGAAUGAGCAUAUUGAUCAAAACAGUUCAGUUGGCUGUCCCAAAUUUUCUGCCACUGACUUCCUUUAGAAGACCCUUUGCAUUUUUGACCUAUUCUGUUUUGUCUGUCCCUUUCCAACCAUACCACAUGCUCUUUUUACUCUUCUUUGGUGACUUUCUUAGUCUUUCUUGCUGCUCCUGUAGACUGUUGUUUACUCACACUGCUUUUAUUCUGAGCUCUCAUUUCUCUUUUCGUUCCAGUUCUAACCCUUACCUUGUCUAUGCCUCCCAUACCCUCCUCUGACUCAGAGUCCUGAUCUGCAAAGCUGCCAUUGCUGUUUGUGCACUUUGAGGGUGAACAGUUGUCGUGCGGCCCUUUUGAGUGCUAAAAAGUGACCACUUAAGAUUUUCCUUGUGGUUAGGAAGAUGAGUAUUUUAAAAUCAUUCUGGAGGAGAUUAGUGGUAAAGAAAACCUUCCUUGGCAACUAAAGCACUGUGGAAAAAUAAGCCAAUUAGUCACUACAACUAAAACAAAAACCUUCUGAAGACUUGUGAACAGAAGAAAGAACGUGUGAAUUACAGGUUUUCUGUUUUGUGGCA